rnacentral:rRNA from 1 species
GAUGAACGCUGGCGGCGUGCCUAAUACAUGCAAGUCGAGCGAACAGAUGAGGAGCUUUCCCCUCUGACAUUAGCGGCGGACGGGUGAGUAACACGUGGAUAACCGACCUUAAAGACCGGGUUAACGUCGGGAAACCGGAGCUAAUACCGGCUAAUAUCUUAAAACGCAUUGUUCAAUAUUGAAAAACGGUUUUGCUGUCACUUAUAGAUGGAUCCGCGCCGCAUUAGCUAGUUGGUAAGGUAACGGCUUACCAAGGCAACGAUGCGUAGCCGACCUGAGAGGGUGAUCGGCCACACUGGAACUGAGACACGGUCCAGACUCCUACGGGAGGCAGCAGUAGGGAAUCUUCCGCAAUGGGCGAAAGCUUGACGGAGCAACGCCGCGUGAGUGAUGAAGGUCUUCGGAUCGUAAAACUCUGUUGUUAGGGAAGAACAAAUGUGUAAGUAACUAUGCACGUCUUGACGGUACCUAAUCAGAAAGCCACGGCUAACUACGUG